rnacentral:lncRNA from 1 species
GAAACAAGUUCAAGUUAUUGCACUCAGGCACUUUCUCAGUCGCCUAUACUGGGUCCUUCGUUCCUCCCGUAGUGUCCACGUGGAGAUCAUCAUGCGCUCUUAAAGUGGUAUAGACGGGUUCAUUGUACGGCAUAUGGCAGGAAGUGGCUGGUGUGCUAAGUCACAUGUCGACACCAUGAGGACAAGGAGCAACCUUGUGCUUUUGAACUCCAGGUGAGCAGCCCUGCGGUAAAAAUUCAGUAAAGGGCUGCAACCGCAACAUGGACGGGGUCACAUGACACCUGGGUCUAUGUUCACAGAAGAGUGAUCCUUUCCAGUGGUGGUAAAUUACCCAGCAUUCACGGACUAGUGGUGUGCGAGGUGAGUUUUACUAACACUGACUCUCAGUGACAAACUCGAUUUGUUUUGACUUGAUUCAUAUUUUGCUGCUUUGUAAUGAUUUGUAUGGUACAUAAAUUUGAGUUCAAUAAGGCAAAUGUAAAUAUUUGAAAAUGCUCAUAAUCGGUUACUUUUAAA